rnacentral:rRNA from 1 species
AUUGAACGCUGGCGGCAGGCCUAACACAUGCAAGUCGAGCGGCAGCGGGAAAGUAGCUUGCUACUUUUGCCGGCGAGCGGCGGACGGGUGAGGAAUGCCUGGGAAAUUGCCCAGUCGAGGGGGAUAACAGGUGGAAACGACUGCUAAUACCGCAUACGCCCUACGGGGGAAAGCAGGGUACCUUCGGGCCGGGCGCGAUUGGAUAUGCCCAGGUGGGAGUAGCUAGUUGGUGAGGUAAUGGCUCACCAAGGCGACGAUCCCUAGCUGGUCUGAGAGGAUGAUCAGCCACACUGGAACUGAGACACGGUCCAGACUCCUACGGGAGGCAGCAGUGGGGAAUAUUGCACAAUGGGGGAAACCCUGAUGCAGCCAUGCCGCGUGUGUGAAGAAGGCCUUCGGGUUGUAAAGCACUUUCAGCGAGGAGGAAAGGUUGAUGCCUAAUACGUAUCAACUGUGACGUUACUCGCAGAAGAAGCACCGGCUAACUCCGUGCCAGCCGCCGCCGUAACAC